rnacentral:misc_RNA from 1 species
AAUGUCGUAACAAGGUUUCCGUAGGUGAACCUGCGGAAGGAUCAUUAAAAAAUGCUUGCGAGGGGCUUUGCCUCCAACGCAUCCAUCCUAUGACUAUAUACCUAGUUGCUUUGGCGGCGCCUGGGCGUAACGCCCCGGUGGCUUUAACCACCGAGUGCCCGCCAGAGGUCAAUCAAAGCUCUUGUUUAAAGCACUGCCGUCCGAUACACAAAAUCAAUAGCUAAAAC